GAUGAACGCUCGCGGCAGGCCUAAUACAUGCAAGUCGAGGGGUAUGGGUUGCUUGCAACCCAGAGACCGGCGCACGGGUGCGUAACGCGUAUGCAAUCUACCUUAAUCAGGGGGAUAGCCCGGAGAAAUCCGGAUUAACACCGCAUAACAUUGAGUUGUGGCAUCACAGUUCAAUCAAAUAUUUAUAGGAUUAAGAUGAGCAUGCGUGACAUUAGUUAGUUGGUGAGGUAACGGCUCACCAAGACCACGAUGUCUAGGGGAUCUGAGAGGAUGACCCCCCAGCACGGGACCGGGGACACGGACAGAACGAUAAGGGAGGGAGCAGUAAGGGAGAAUGGGCAAGGGGAGCCAGCCUGAACCAGCCAUGCCGCGUGCAGGAAGACGGCCCUAGGGGUUGUAAACUGCUUUUGGAACGGAAUAAACCUUCUCUUGCGAGAGAAGCUGAACGUACGGUAAGAAUAAGGAUCGGCUAACUACGUG
rnacentral:rRNA from 1 species